rnacentral:rRNA from 1 species
UACGUAGGGCGCAAGCGUUGUCCGGAAUUAUUGGGCGUAAAGAGCUCGUAGGCGGCCAGUUGCGUCUGCUGUGAAAUCCCGGGGCUCAACCCCGGGCGUGCAGUGGAUACGGGCUGGCUAGAGGCAGGCAGGGGAGAACGGAAUUCCCGGUGUAGCGGUGAAAUGCGUAGAGAUGCGGAGGAACACCGAUGGCGAAGGCAGCCCCCUGGGCUGACACUGACGCUCAGGCACGAAAGCGUGGGGAGCAAACAGG